GGCUCAGAUUGAACGCUGGCGGCAUGCCUUACACAUGCAAGUCGAACGGCAGCACGGACUUCGGUCUGGUGGCGAGUGGCGAACGGUGAGUAAUGUAUCGGAACGUACCUUUCAGUGGGGAUAACGUAGCGAAAGUUACGCUAAUACCGCAUAUUCUGUGAGCAGGAAAGCAGGGGAUCGCAAGACCUUGCGCUGAUUGAGCGGCCGAUAUCAGAUUAGCUAGUUGGUGAGGUAAAGGCUCACCAAGGCGACGAUCUGUAGCGGGUCUGAGAGGAUGAUCCGCCACACUGGAACUGAGACACGGUCCAGACUCCUACGGGAGGCAGCAGUGGGGAAUUUUGGACAAUGGGGGCAACCCUGAUCCAGCCAUGCCGCGUGAGUGAAGAAGGCCUUCGGGUUGUAAAGCUCUUUCGGCCGGGAAGAAAUCGCAAGGGCUAAUACCCUGUGCGGAUGACGGUACCGGCAUAAGAAGCACCGGCUAACUACGUG
rnacentral:rRNA from 1 species